rnacentral:rRNA from 1 species
GCUCGUAGUUGAAAUUGUGUCCUGCGGCGUCGGUCUACCGAUUGCGGUACGACAGGCGCGUCAGCGGGGCUUCUCGCCGGUGCGUGUCUUCCGCCGGCACGUCGUCGUCGGUCCUCACGGGCAGGCGGCGCGUCGAGGCGGGCCCUCGCGGCUGUUUACUUUGAACAAAUUAGAGUGCUCAAAGCGGGCUUACAUUUGCCUGAAUAUUGUGCGCAUGGAAUAAUAGAAUAGGACCUCGGUUCUGUUUUGUUGGCUUUCUGAUACCAGAGGUAAUGAUUAAUAGGGACAACUGGGGGCAUUCGUAUUGCGACGUUAGAGGUGAAAUUCUUGGAUCGUCGCAAGACGGACUAAAGCGAAAGCAUUUGCCAAAGGUGUUUUCAUUAAUCAAGAACGAAAGUUAGAGGUUCGAAGGCGAUUAGAUACCGCUGUAGUUCUAACCAUAAAUGAUGCCAGCCAGCGAUCCGCCGAAGUUUUUUACGUUGAUUCGGUGGGCAGCUCCCGGGAAACCAAAGCUUUC